UUCCGUAUAAAAACGAUCUGCGCGUCAAUGACGCGGACGUAUUCGCGAGGCGAAUAGAAAGGACGAAUUCAGUGGGGAAAAAAAAAAAACCUAUAUAAAUAUAUAUAAUAUCAUCCCGCUAUAUACUGUCGAAUCGCGGUGACUCAUCUGCUGCUUACGUGUGUAACGUAAAGACAAGUAGUGACUCAUAUCCAAACCGAUUUCAACCCCAGACUCGCGGAUAACAAUUUAAUAUCCAAUAUAAAUAAAUUGAUCAGUAUAAAGUAAGUUGCGCGUAUACGUCGUUUCGCCGUUUUACGAUGACGCGCAUGGUGCUGUCUUACACAAACGCACCAUAAUAUAGCUAUAUCCCUAUCUAUACAAUCUGUACGUACGGCAGAGACGACUUUUGUGCUGUUUGUUCCACAAUUCGUGUAAAUCGAUCCGUUAUCAAACUUAAAGGCUUACAAAAAUUAUUUCGGUACAACGUUGACGCUGUUUUUUUUGUUAUUUCAAUUUUCAUUCGAGUAUGUGAAAUAUCACAAUUGAAUAAUGUCUAUAUCUCAAUUGCAGUGGCGUGCCCAGGAAUUUUCAAUGGGAGGGAAUGUAACAAAUAAAAAUCGCGAAAAAAGAGUAAAAUCGUCUUCUUUACCCAACUCGACUAUGGGAAUUGACAAUUUAAUAGCCAGAUCCUAAAAUCGGCCGAAAUUUAUGAGUUUCGAUAUUAGAUUACACAUAUUUUUUUGUAUUCUUAAGCCAAUGUAGGGGAUAUAAUUCCCAACCUCCCUCCCUGGGCACGCCACUGCUCAUUUGAAAAUUGAAAUAUCGAAAAACACCUAUAACCCGUUCCACAGAUAAUAUGUCCAAUUUUAAUCAAGGCAAUAGAUCAAUUCACUAUAAUAUUAAAACUAACAGCGCAAAGUAGACCUGGCUGAACACGAAUUUGCCAUGCCAAAGGUUUGUAAAACGGUGACAGCACAUGCGGAUGCGGUCAUAUCACGUCCAAUUAACUUUUAAUAUUUUAUUUGUGUUCUGUUAUUUCUACCAAUACACCGGUGCUGUUAUUUUAAACAAUUGACUAUCGGAAUAAAAAUCGCGAUGUUCGUAUACGAUGUUAUUCGGAACGGAUGACGUUUUUCAAAUAUUCAUUAUUGCAAGACGCUCGGUUUGUAUACAGUCUUAAACCGAUUCGAUUACAAUAACAUAAUACGAAUAUUCUUAUGAUGAUAAGAGAUUGUUUUUUUUUCUGAAUGCUAAGAUAACAUAGUUAUAUUUUGUUAUUC